rnacentral:sRNA from 1 species
GCUGGGCAUGCUUGUAAUCCCAGCUACUCAGGAGGCUGAGGCUGGAGGAUCGCAAGUUCAAGGCCAGCCUCAGUAAAUUAGAGAGGCCCUGAGCAACAAAGCAAGACCCUGUCUCUA